rnacentral:rRNA from 1 species
UUCUAUGGCCCUGUACCCUGAAGACACUGGCUCUUGAUCUUGUCUGAUCUUGGUAGCUAAGCAGGGUCAGGCCUGGCUGGUACUUGGAUGGAAGAUGUGGAGGACAGAUAGGAGGAGAGACCAAGCCGCAGAGGAAA